rnacentral:tRNA from 1 species
GAGGGUAUAGCUCAAGUGGUAGAGCACAUGCUUAAGCAUGAAUGAGGUCCUAGGUUCAAUCCCCAGUACCUCCA